GAUGAACGCUAGCUACAGGCUUAACACAUGCAAGUCGAGGGGCAGCGGGAUUGAAGCUUGCUUCAAUUGCCGGCGACCGGCGCACGGGUGAGUAACGCGUAUCCAACCUUCCGUACACUCAGGGAUAGCCUUUCGAAAGAAAGAUUAAUACCUGAUGGUAUCUUAAGCACACAUGUAAUUAAGAUUAAAGAUUUAUCGGUGUACGAUGGGGAUGCGUUCCAUUAGGUAGUAGGCGGGGUAACGGCCCACCUAGCCAACGAUGGAUAGGGGUUCUGAGAGGAAGGUCCCCCACAUUGGAACUGAGACACGGUCCAAACUCCUACGGGAGGCAGCAGUGAGGAAUAUUGGUCAAUGGACGAGAGUCUGAACCAGCCAAGUAGCGUGAAGGAUGAAGGUCCUACGGAUUGUAAACUUCUUUAUAAGGGAAUAAACCCUCCCACGUGUGGGAGCUUGUAUGUACCUUAUGAAUAAGCAUCGGCUAACUCCGUG
rnacentral:rRNA from 1 species